UACGUGGGCAGCGAGCGUUGUUCGGAAUUACUGGGCGUAAAGAGUGUGUAGGCGGUGUUCCCAGUCUGUUGUGAAAUCUCCCGGCUUAACUGGGAGGGUGCAGCGGAAACUAGAAUGCUAGAGGGUGGGAGAGGUAAGCGGAAUUCCUGGUGUAGCGGUGAAAUUCGUAGAUAUUCGCAAGAACACCAGUGGCGAAGGCGGACUCACUGGCCCGGUACUGACGCUGAGGUGCGAAGC
rnacentral:rRNA from 1 species